rnacentral:misc_RNA from 1 species
GAUGAAGAACGCAGCGAAAUGCGAUACUUGGUGUGAAUUGCAGAAUCCCGUGAACCAUCGAGUCUUUGAACGCAAGUUGCGCCCGAAGCCAUUAGGCCGAGGGCACGCCUGCCUGGGCGUCACACGUCGUUGCCCCCCCAUCUACUCCUUCGGGAUUGCGGGGGGCGGAUGAUGGCCUCUCGUGCGCCUCGUCGCGCGGUUGGCCUAAAUGCCAAGUCCUCGGCGACGCACGCCACGACAAUCGGUGGUUGCGAAACCUCGGUUGCCCGUCGUGUGCGGUCGUCGCGCAUCGAGGGCUCGAAAAAAUUGCCGGGCUCCGGCUCGGCUUUCAACGCGACCCCAGGUCAGGCGGGGUUACCCGCUGAAUUUAAGCAUAUCAAUAAGCGGAGGA